GCCUCGAUAGCUCAGUAGGAAGAGCGUGAGACUGAAGAUCUAAGUGUCGCUGGUUCGAUCCCGACUUGAGGCA
rfam:Trichuris suis scaffold226.2, whole genome shotgun sequence.